rnacentral:rRNA from 1 species
AGAAUCAACGCUGGCGGCGUGCCUCAGACAUGCAAGUCGAACGAUUAAAGCUCUCUUCGGAGAGUGUAUAGAGUGGCGCACGGGUGAGUAACACGUAAGUAACCUACCUUUGAGUGGGGAAUAACAAUCGGAAACGAUUGCUAAUACCGCAUAAUGCAGCGGCAUCGCAAGAUGACAGUUGUUAAAGGAGCAAUCCGCUUAAAGAGGAGCUUGCGGCAGAUUAGCUAGUUGGUAAGGUAAUGGCUUACCAAGGCUACGAU